rnacentral:rRNA from 1 species
UACGAAGGGGGCUAGCGUUGUUCGGAAUUACUGGGCGUAAAGCGUAUGCAGGCGGAUCGCUAAGUCAGGGGUGAAAUCCCAGGGCUCAACCCUGGAACUGCCUUCAAAACUCCCGGUCUUGAGGUCGAGAGAGGUGAGUGGAAUUCCGAGUGUAGAGGUGAAAUUCGUAGAUAUUCGGAGGAACACCAGUGGCGAAGGCGGCUCACUGGCUCGAUACUGACGCUGAGGUGCGAAAGCGUGGGGAGCAAACAGG